GCCCUCGCGCUGCAGGCGCACCGCGGCUCGUGCCAGAAUGAAGAUGGCUUCCUGUCCCGCUAGCGUCACGUCGGGAUCUGCCUUCACCAAGGCCUUCACUCGCGCCAGAGGCAACCUCGAGAGACGAGCCCCAGGCACACUCGUUGGGGCCUGGGGCUGCGAGGCCGCUGCCUCCCCAGCAGGCCAUUAUAACUACAUUCUUAGAAUGUGAUCCCUUUCAACAUUUCCUGCACCUCUGCUUCUGCACACUACCACCAAAAGACAAGAAAGGCAAGGAGACGUGACUGGAGCAAGAAAAACAGUGUUUUUCACACAAGGAUGUCCACUCCUUGUUGGGAAUGGCUUAAGAUCGACCUGGGAAAGCAAAACAUCGCCAUAUCAUUUGGAGGAAAGGCACUGGUUGGAAGAGCCUGUUGGCGUGGCAAAGCCAAGGUCUUUAAAGUCCUCAGAGAAGGCAGGCAUAGCCACCACUGGAGGACUUCCUGAUAUGUGGUACAGAGACUGAUGAGGGCAUGGGGUGACAACCUUAGGUGCCAACAGCAAGGGGAUGGAUAUACAGGGUAAAGGAGGCUUGCUGCCAUCCUACGCCUUUGAACGCCACAAAUCAGAGAUGGUACCAUGGAGGAACAUGAACAGGUGAGAGCUGAGGCAUGGGUGCCCACACACAGCCCAAGCCCAGGUGCUAACAGUUGACCAUCAGUAGCCCAGUGCCCCGAAUUCAUCCUGCGCCUGAUUAUCACCCAAAAGCAGUGCAUCGGCACCAUUCUGGUGACUCAAUAUCACACAAUGGCACCAGCCAGCAGGAACAAUCCAAUUGCCAGGCUGCCCUCCUGCACAGAGCCCAAGCCACAGAGCCCUCAGAUAACUCCAUUGAUGCAAAUCUCAGAGUUCCUCAAGGAAACAGGUCAACCCUGCACAUGGAGUGGAGAUUCAGAAAGGCCCCAAAAAGGAAAAAAACAAGGAUCAGUGUCCAUGUAUGUCCCUGUAUGGGGCUGCCAUUUGUCCUAACCACCCUGGGGUCUGCCAUAGCUGAGCCAGCCCUACUGGAAGAGGAUAGUCAAAUAACCUCACUCGUAUUCUUUUGCCACUUACUGUGUUGCCCUAGCUUCCCUCCAGGGGAUCCUCAUUUUGUCCUAGGCUCAACCUUACCUUUGAUCACUUUAGGACUCAGGCACAAGAUUUCACAUUGCUGGGAAUCCAUUUUCAGUCUUUGAAAAGACACAGUGAUUCUUCAGGAAGUUUGUUAUCCCAAAGAUGCAACAGAGACAGAAUUUCCCAGCUUGAAGGGAUUUGAAACAUCCAUAAAGUUACAGAAAUUCAUAUCUGGAGGAGUCUUAACGGUCAUUCAGACCAACGCUUUCUCGGGUAUCUAUAACAUCCAAUGCCCUAGUUUCCCUGCUGUCUUUUUUGGCCACUCCUUUUCAAUCUCCUUUGCAGGCUACCCUUUACAGGGCUCAGUCUCCACACUCUUUUGUUCUAGAUUUUCCCCUGGUGACCUCACCGAGGCCUACAGCUUUAAAUACCAUCCAUAUGCUGAUAAUUCCCAAAUUUAUAUUUCCAGUCCCAAGCUCUCCACUGAGUUUCAGGCUCAUAUAUCCAAAUGUCUACUUCUUGCCUUCAGUAUACCUUACAAACCUCUCAAGUUUGACGUGCCUAGAACUGGACUCUGGAUUUUACCUUUUGCCCGUAUCAACAAGUUCCUCUCUUAGUCUUCCAAUCACAGAAAGGGCUCCACCAUCAAGAUGGACAUGAGCCUAAAACCCAAGAAUUCUUGUUUCCUGCCUUCCUUUCCUUCUCUCACAUUCAGUCUCCUGGUAGACUUGUUCAUUUACUUCCACCAUUUCUAUCUACUUCUUUUCAUCUCCAGUGCCAACAUUCUUGUCCAAGCCAUCACUCUCUCUCCCCAAACCACUCCAAUAGCAUCCUAACUGGUUUUCCCUACCCUUAUCUCACCUCAAUCCAUUCUCUGCAUAUUAGCUGGAGUGAUCCUUUCAAGAAGUGAAUACAAACCUUAAAUCUUUCAACAGCCCUCACUGCAUCCAGAAUAAAAUCCAAGCACCUAUAACUGCCUAAUAUGGCUUCUGUCCACAUCUAACCUCAAAUCUUACCUUCUGCCCUUGCUGUGCUCAAGCCUUUCUGGCCUUUCAUUUCCUUAAACACACCAAGCCUUUCCAGCAUCAGAGACUUUACAAUUCUUCCUGGAAUGCUCUUCCACUAAUUUCUUUAGGUCAUAGUUUGUGGUCAUUUGAAAACAUGUCCACAAAUUCUUUUCUAUCCUAAAAAAAGGGGGAAUCCAAUUCCCCUCCUCUUGAACAUGGACUAGCCUCAGUGGCUUGCUACUAAUGAAUUAAAUGGUAUAGAAGUGACUGUAACUUCUUAGACUAGGUGACCAAAGAUGGCACAGCCUCCACCUGGUUCUCUGUCUUGUGAGGCUCACCCUUGGAACCCAGCCAUCAUGCUGUGACAAAGCCAUGUACCACAUGCAGGUGUUUCGGGGAACAGACCUGUCAGAGGUCCUUGCCAACAGCCAACAUCAGUCAGCAUCAACCACUAGACAUGUAAGUGAGGAAGCCUCCAGAUGAUUCCAGUUCCCACCUUCAGCUGAUGUUAGGUGGAGCAGAGACAUGCUGUCCCCACCUGCCUAAACUGCAGAUUCAUGAGUAAUGUAAUUUCUGUCAUUGUUUUAAGCCAUUAAGUUUUGGGGCAGUUUGUCACACAGCAAUAGACAACUGGAACACAGCUCAUAUGCCCCUUCUCAGAACUGCCCUCCCUGAUCAUCCUAAGUGCCCAUUGGCAUUAUCCAUAACCUGAAAAUUAUUAUGAUUGAUCCUAAAGUCCAGCCUGGUGCCUGGCACGUAGGAGAUGCUCAGUGAAUAUUUGUGGAAUGAUUGAAUAAGGAAAUGAAUCCUCUUGUCACAUUUGAAGUUAUCAGUCAUCAAUAAAAUGGGGAUUUGUUUCAUCGUUUGCAGGGUGAUGACAUCAAACUCAAUUCGGAGAGAGGAAAGGGUAGUUAUGAAGCAUGCUCCACUGGUGCUGCUGGAUAGUGAGGGUGGGCAGACUUGACGACCACCAGUCCAGGACCUAGACAGCCUGAAGACACGGGGGCCUGAAAAGGUAGUUGGGGAUGCCCAAAGAAUGCUAGUCCUGGUGCCAAUGCAGCAGACAGUCACCUUGUCUGUUGUCGAGUAAACAAGUGCCUCCUCUUGGGCCUGUGAUGCCUGCCAGCACAUGUCUUUCUCAGAGGUGGGCAUAUUCUCUAUUUGGGAAACAAUGGGUAGAGGGAUUGAAGCAGGAGAAGUUUCAGAGAAUCACUCUUGCAAGAGAUGCUGCACUCUGGCAGACUCGAUAAUGACAAAUAUGUCAAGCAACUGAGUUUCAGCAGGGUUCCUUCGGGCCUUGUUCACCAACUUGUGGUUUCCGUGGUGACAGGACAGCUGCCAGGUAGAUGGCGGCUUUGGGGCCACCUGACUGGCUCUGACGAUAACUGGCUUUGACAGCUUUGAUUGGAAUGAAAAGAUUUAGGGUCCCUACUGGCUUUCUUAAAUUAAACCCUCCCUCCUGGAGUUAGCUUGUUUAUCAACAUUAUCUUAGAUUAGGGGACUUUCUUGUGAUCAGAGAGUUCUUUUACCACGAUGGUUCACAUGUUGGGGCCACUGGCAGGGUUUCUGAGAUCAGGGUCCUCGGAGCAGCACAGAGAGGUAAGGCUACACCCUGAUGUGCUUCUCAGGCAAUGCCUCCAAGGGGCAUGUUAACAGUCAGAUCUAGUUAGGAAAGAAAACAGGAAAAGGACCUGCAUUUUAACAGAAAUAAUUUAAUCUAGGCAAUUGAGUAAGCAGGUAUUAGAGGCUGAAAGGCAAAAAGGAAGUAUCAAGAUAAACACAGGGAUGGUAACUGCCAGAGGCAGCUCUACCUCUGGGGCUGAAGAACACAGGGAAGAUACUGGGGUUGCAAUAAUUUCAAAGCUUGGAAGAGGAGCCCUGCGGAGCUGGGACCUAGGCUUCUAAGGAGCGGCGACUGCACAGUAUCUGUGAGGCUGGAUUUGAGAGUCCAGAAAAUGUUGAAGACUGGAACCCAUUGCUAUUGAGGUAAAUAACAUCUUUGUGUGGCGUGUUGCAGCUGUCACAGCCGCCAGCAGACAGCCGACUCCCUCACCAGUAAACACCGCGGCUUAGGUGUUGCCCACCGGGCACCGGAAGGCGGCCCCCUUCUCGCUCUCCAGUGAAUGUUCCUAAAACAACUGCGGGGUCCAAGAGCACAGGGAGAACAGCGCCCCUGACGCAGGCUGCGCACCCGCCCGGAGGAGGCAGUGCGUCAGUCCUGAGGUCACCGCCACCCGCUCCCGGGGGACGGCCGCCUGGGCAGGUGAGGAGGCGACCACCUCCCAGACGCCUGCCGGAGCUGCGGCGCACCGACUCCCUGCUUCUCCGAGCGGCGAGCGCCACCUGGAGGCUCCCUCGAGAUCUGCAUUUAGGAGGCGACGGGUCCUUUCAUCGUUUUAUUCAUUAAACAUUUAUCGAGGCCUGGAGCGAUGGUUCAAGCCUGUAAUCCCAGCACUUUGGGAGACCGAGACGGGCGGAUCACUUGAGGUCAGGAGUUGGAGACCAGCCUGGCCAACAUGGCGAAACCCCAUCUCUACUAAAAAUACAAAAAUUAGCCGGGCACGGUGGCGCACACCUGUAAUCCCAGCUACUCAUGAUGAGGCUGAGGCACAAGAAUCGCUUGAACCCGAGAGGCGGAAGUUGCAGUGAGCGGAGAUGGAGCCACUGUGUGUUAGGCUCUGGCGACGUGGGGAGAAAUAAAGAUAAUGUCUUGUUUCCCAGGGCAUUAAUAGCGUGAUGGGGAAGACAGGCCAUCAACAAUGUGCAACACUAAGGGCUAGGAAAGAGGUGGAUACAAAGGAGGGAAUAAGGAAUGUGGUCAUUCCUUAAGGUGUUUAUUGGUGCCAGGUACUGUUCAAGGCACCAAAAAGAAUGGAACCAAACAGAGAUCCUGCUCCCAAAGAGCUCAUAGUGGAAGGACAGCCAGACAAGCUUAGAAUUACGGGACAGGCCUAAGAAGGAGCCAGACUGGGGACCAGAGGCGUCCGAAGGGAAGUCCAGGAAGUACCGCAGGAAAACGUGAUAUAUAUUAAAUCUUAAAGAAUGGGCAGGAUUUUGCCAGGCUUAGUGACAAGAUAUCUUCCGUAAAAUCGUGGAACUGAAAAGAAAGGAUAUAGGUUGAAGAAGGGCUAGUUCUGUGUCUGAAAUAGAAGGAACAUGAAAGAGAAGUGCUGGGACAUGGGGCAAAAAAGGGAGUUUGGGGCCAGAUCGUGAAAGCCUUGGUUUAACAGGUGAAAAGUUCAAAUUUGAUCCAGGUAGCUGGCAGAGUCAGAGGUUCUAAAGCAGAGACCUGCUCUAUAGAAAGCUCACCAUGAAGUACAGCAGUGAUGGUGGAUGAAGAUACCAACAGCUCAACCUCCUAUGUGCCAGGGAAAUGCUGAGCGCUUAGCACCUGAUAUUUAUCUUAAUUCUCUAAAUGGGCCUAUGGGGUAAGCAUAUUAUUAUCCCAAUUUUAUUGGAAUACUUCCCUGGUAGGGCCCCUAAACAGGUAGCCAUCAAAUGCCUGAUAAAUUCCAGCUAGCUUUAAAUUCUAGUCGCUACAGAGCAGAGCCCUUCCAUCGCACUGAGCUGAAGGAGCCAGAUGGGCAUUACAGACAAGACCCACUCAGUAGGUGAAAUCAACAGAGCCUAAUGACUAUCUAGAUCUGCAAGAUGAAGAAUAGGAAAGAGCUAAAGACAAGAUUAUGAUGAAAAGUUUGAUUUUGAAAUAAUACAUUUUUAAGAGCUGAGAAAAACCGUAUCCAUCAUCCAGAACAACCGCCUAUUCUACCCACACUCCCAGCACCACAUCAGUACACGUGUGCCUGUACUCACCAUUCUGCCUUGCCUCCUGCUGGCAUGGACGAGUGCUGCGUGUUCCUAAGUGCCACCUUCCGCUGUGCACUCGAUCCCAUCCUCGCGCCCACGCAAGAACAUCGCUUCAUCAAUUGGUCCUUCUCUCACAUAUGAAAUUUUUGGUCUUUCUACUGAGUCAUUCCCAUAAAUAUACAUGUGUACUACAAUUUCUCUCAUCGUAAAAAAUAAUAAAAAUAUUUCCUUGACCUCAAAUCUCAUACCCCUGCCAUUCAAUUACACCAAUCCUCUCCAAAAGAGUUAUUUAUACUCAAACUCCACUUUCUCUCCUCUCGUUCUUUCUUGAACCCACUUCAGUUUCAUUCUCACAACUUCACCACAAUUACUCUUCAGGUCCACAUUGCAAAUCCAACGGUCAGUUGAGAGUCCUCAUCUUAGAUGACCUGUCAGCAGACUUCCACACAGUUGAGCCUAUUCACUCAAGUGCCUAAGGCUAUGCACAUUCUUCUCUACUGACACUCACUUCCUCGUGAUCCUGCCUGGCCUCACGUUUACAACUCCGAAUAUAUUCUUUCCAGCCUGAACUCUCCUCUGAACUUCAGACCCAUACAUCCCCAACUGCUGACUCAAUAUCUGCACGUGGAUGCCUAAUGCGUUCAAACGUAGCAUGUCCAAAAGCAAAUUCCUAAUCCUCCCCCUUCAAACCUUUUGCUCCCAUUUGCUCCCACAGCCUUUUCCAUCUCAAUAAAUCAAAACUCUAAUCUUCCAGUUGUUCAGAAUAAAUGCUGUCAUCAUGUUAUCUGUAUUUGUCGAUAUAAAUUAGGUGAUGCUUCCGUAGCAAAGAACCCCAAAAACACCACAAAUGUUCAUGUUUUUGCUGAUGUCCAGGCUGAGUUGACAGGAGACUCUACUCAUCAGUUUCACUGAGGGACUAAGGCUGACGGAGG
rnacentral:lncRNA from 1 species